rnacentral:rRNA from 1 species
AGAGUUUGAUCAUGGCUCAGAACGAACGCUGGCGGCGUGCCUAACACAUGCAAGUCGAACGAGAAAGGGGCUUCGGCUCCGAGUAAAGUGGCGCACGGGUGAGUAACACGUGGGUAACCUGCCUCUAAGAUUGGGAUAACUCGUCGAAAGAUGAGCUAAUACCGAAUAAGACCACAGUUUCUGCGGGAACAGGGGUCAAAGGUAGCCUCUGCUUGCAAGCUAUCACUUAGAGAUGGGCCUGCGCACCAUUAGCUAGUUGGUAGGGUAACGGCCUACCAAGGCAAAGAUGGUUAGCUGGUCUGAGAGGAUGAUCAGCCACACUGGAACUGAGACACGGUCCAGACUCCUACGGGAGGCAGCAGUGGGGAAUAUUGCGCAAUGGGCGAAAGCUUGACGCAGCAACGCCGCGUGAGUGAUGAAGGCCUUCGGGUCGUAAAGCUCUGUCGGGAGGAACGAAUGCUCCUGAGGUUAACAGCCUCGGGAGGUGACGGUACCUUCAA